AGUCGUAAAAAGAUUUCGUAGGUGAACCUGUGGAAGGAUCAUUAACACGUAUCCAAACGUUAAAACAACCCUGUGAACCUUCAGCGUGUUCUUGCAGGACAUCCAAACAGCAAUCCCGAGGAAAUCAGGCGCUAAAGAAUUACAGAUUGAUUUUGGGACGUUCUGUGUGUACGUGGACGCUGCAAUUGAGCGCUAGCUGAAUACCCUAGAGCACUCCCCUGUCUGAAAGCGGCAGGGAUCAAUGUUCAGGGUGCGCAGUCAUCGAUCGCUGUAGGGGUGGAGGCGAAAGCCCCUCCGUCAUCCCUAUGUACCCUCCGGGACUUGGCGAAAGCUGACUCCGUCAUAAAUCGAACAACUGUUAACAAUGGAUAUCUUGGUUCUC
rnacentral:misc_RNA from 1 species